AUAUAGAUAUUAUAAAGAAGUAUAAUUUUGCAUGAUACCUGAAAGUUGACUUUUCUUAUUAUUUUACGGUUAAAUUCUCUUCCUCGAUAAAACUCGUUGCGAACCCCCUCGGUUAUUCUAAAUAUUUCAUGGCAAUUAUAUCGAAUCAAUCAGCCACUGUGAAACUGUUUCGCAAUAUUUGAGUGCCAAUUUUUCAGUGGCUCGAGCCGUCGCCGAGGAUAAUCAUUGGGUUGCGCACAGUAGGCAACCGCUCCUCGCGUAACGAAAGUGCAGCCAGGGUUUUAAUCUAGGCCAAUUUAACAUUUCAGACGCUCUCUUUCUAGCUGGUGCUUUAUUUGCCGUGGCCUGAUUAUACGUCUUAGUUGAUUGGCGUUUCGCCAUAGCAGCGCACCAUCGCGAAUUUUUAUUAGCUCACCGGCGUGUGAAUGGACCACAGCCGCACAGUAUUUAUUCGCGAUUUUUGGGCAUUUUUAUCAAGAUUUCCGAGAUAGUUCGAUUAAGAUGCAGCCGGAGAGCGGACGGAGAGGGCUAGCUUUUAAUUUGUUCGAAGAUGUUCUCCGAAGCGGUAACGACUGGGCACGGGAACGCCAACGAACGGGUCAAUUAGUAGCAACGAAAGCCUCCGUGGAAUUCAUAAGCGCGGGCAGCAGCAGCGACUCGUCGUCCAGGACUUACGAAAUUAUACCCUUUCCGCAGCUGCCCACGAUCCCUUCCUCCCGUGCCGAGCGUACAAUUCAAAUCCUCGGUCACUACUCGUAAUUAGUAUACGCCCUCUUUUUCACGUGUGCACAGAGUGCUGCUCCGUAGACAUUACGAAUAAUGACUGCCAUUUCCGACAAUGGUGAUUUCAAAUUUAUCAAUAGAAUAAUACUUUAUUCAAAGUUUGCAUUGUAUGUUGAUAAAAUGUGUAGAUAUGUAAAUCGCAUGCAAAUACUCUAUUCGAUCAAUGACUGAUACUCAUCGGGUGAAGUUAAAUAUCUUCACGUUGCUACGACGAAUCCGUAUUUCGAUGUUCACGAGCAUCCCGGGUGCGACCAUCGCGCACUUAUGCGUCGAGUGCGUGUAGGCACGCCACUUACACAAUCGCAGAGGUGUCCGUGGAGAGUCAGCAUAGGGUGUGAGAGUGCGUAAUAACUUAUUCCGAGCCUUAUUAUUACGAACGACUGCGGUAGGCCAGUAGCGGUCAAGUGCGCGCGCGCGGGUAUUCACUGCAGUGAAGAGACGUCGGUUGUUACAUACGUCGUCACUAGUUCUCUCCGCCUGCCAAUGAGCGACGGGAUGACGGUGCGCGUUGACAAAAUCUUUCCUCGUUAGUCAUGAUGGUCUACAAACAUGGUUAUUUGCCUUUUUGGCGAUAUACCGUUUAGCCCUCGCCUGCUUCGGAAGAGCAUUCUAUUAAGCCUAAACGAAUUCUGACGAGGGAGCGAAAUCCCCUAUAAUCGUUAUCGCUGACGAUCUUUUACCUGUGGUUUCACAGAUAUUUAACGAAUACAAUUUUUUUUACAAAACUGUUAAAAAAGUUACUCGCUUUUCUGCAAGACGAUAUAAAAUUAUAUCACGAUGCAGCUUAAGAAAACUCGUUGUGCAACUAUUUAUACGAAUUCGUCAUAGGGCGCAUUUAGGAAAGUAACGCAUCGAUCUCCUCCCCGUCACGACGCCUCGAAACGGCUUUCACUCUGGGAAGAGUGACGAUCUCCGGUUAUUAUUGGCGCCAAAAGACCGCCCACGUAUGUGCGUAAAUGCAAGCCGCACGCAAUGUUUGGCAGCGGUAGCCGAGCCUAAUUCGUUUUUCCUCGUAACGAUCGUAAGCGUAUCUGCGAACAUACGACUUGGCAUGUACUCAAGACGAAUUAAUUAUGACGCAUUGGCGGAAUGUAGUUUUUACGUCAUCCUAGACAAUUAUUCUGAAUAUACUUGUCGCGUUUAUGUUAAGGCCGCUCGAGAUGAAAUCUGUCAAGAAUAAUUGAUCUGAAAGAUUUCACGGCGUUAUGCCGUGCUGAUAGAAAUGUAUUUUAUUGGUGAAACAAAAUUGAUGGAAAAAUAGUUGAAAGUAACAAAUGCGCUUCCACAUUUUCUCGUGACAGCGGCGAGCCCUCCUCAACUUCCACUAACGUUUCCAACUCCCGCUCGUGGUUUGCCGCGCUCUCUCUCCGCACACGUGGGCACACGCGGUCGACUCGUGCCCUCGUGUGCGUGAGAACGCUCGGUCGCUCGAGUAUGCGAGCGGACGUCGGUUGAGACGAGUCUCUCGUGAGAGCGUGCAAGGGAAGAGAAAAGAGCCGCCGGUGAGGAAGAGGGAGGGAGCGUGUGCUGCCGGAGAUGGUGGCGUAUGUAGAGGUGGAGGUGGAGGAAGGAGCUGGUCCUCUUGGGAGCAACUCGUGAGAGCGCUCGUCCGAGCGGGGAGAGAGAGAAGCCGAGAACCCGCUUAGUCCCACGCGACGGCUCGUGGCUCCUCGUGGCCGACGCGCGUCGCGUCGCCCCUGCAUCGCCCUCUUCGUCCGGUCGUGAGGAGGAGGCGGGAGAGUGAUAGAAGACGAGGAGAGUGGGAUCCUCGCGCUUAAGGUCGCCACGAACGCCGCGACCUCGCCGAGCAUUUAAAUGGAAACGUAAGUCGGAGAUCGCGUGGGCACAUCUGCGCAGGAAAUAUUCGUGCGAGAAACCUUGAACGGAAGAGCGAACGCGGCCAAUGACACAAAGAACGUCCGCUAACCACUCGCAUGAUUUAUUAUCGAUUUCUCGAUGCGAUAUCACUCGUCCAACACGUUGUGAAUGCUCGAGCAUACCUGUCGAUCGUUCAUUCUCUUGCUUCGGUUAGUGGAACGAGGAGUUGUUGAACUAUAAUAAAGAUGUGAUAAAAAAGGAUUUUUUGCCGAUUAAGACUAUGUAAAUUAUAUUUCGAUAGCUUAGAGAAUAUAUAUAAUCGUGUUUGUGGAAAUUAAAAAUUACAUUACAAAA